rnacentral:rRNA from 1 species
UGGGGAAUAUUGCACAAUGGGCGGAAGCCUGAUGCAGCGACGCCGCGUGGGGGAUGACGGCCUUCGGGUUGUAAACCUCUUUCAGUGCAGAACAAGGCUCUUUGCGGGUUGAGGGUAUGCGCAGAAGAAGCGCCGGCUAACUACGUGCCAGCAGCCGCGGUAAUACGCAGGGCGCGAGCGUUGUCCGGAUUUAUUGGGCGUAAAGAGCUCGUAGGCGGUUUGUCGCGUCUGCUGUGAAAUCCGCUGGCUUAACUGGGGGCGUGCAGUGGGUACGGGCAGACUGGAGUGCGGUAGGGGAGACUGGAAUUCCUGGUGUAGCGGUGGAAUGCGCAGAUAUCAGGAGGAACACCGGUGGCGAAGGCGGGUCUCUGGGCAGUUACUGACGCUGAGGAGCGAAGGCAUGGGGAGCGAACAG